CAGCAGCACAAGUGGACUACAGCCUCGGAAAUGUCCUCACCGUCCGGCUUCAUGGCAAGCAGCCUGGCUGUUGGCAAGAUGCGCCCAGCUCUGCUUCUGCUCGUGUGGAACCUUACAUUACCCUAACGCAGCUGGGGCACAAGCCGUCUGUGCUUAUACUAUUCUUCUUAAGCUUGGAGACACACUCACCUUGAGAUCUCUCCUCUUUUUCAUCUAGACACUGUUGUCAAGGUCAAACCUGGGCUGGAUAUUGUGAUGUCACAGAGUGGAAUCCUCACUCCUCCAGAUGGUCCAGCUGAGGCCCUCUUGGACAACACUUCCUCUCCUGCCCAUGGUGGGAGGUUGGGAAGGACAUUCCCCCAUUUCCAUUUGCUCUGCCAUUCAAAACCUUGUGAGGGCCCUCAGGGAAGAAUCCCUUUGCAGGUCAUAAACUGACCUGCAGAAUUAUGGGAUCUUAACUGUGGGGAGAGACCUAGAAGACCGGCUAGUGACCAGAUUCUCAUCUAACUCCUUUUUUUUUGCAGAUGAGGAAACUGAGGCCCCACGUGGUGAAGACAAUUUUUACCCGAAUCCACCCACAACAAGAGACCAUUUGGAUAAUGUACAUUAUGGGAAGAGAACAGAGUCUCAGUGAAGAUCAUGUUUCCCCAGCAACACAGGUGCCAGGAGUAGCUGGCUCUGGUCCCAGCCCAGACUCAGAAAUCCUGAGCCACCAGACCAUUUCUAGAUUAACAAGUAAGGUGACUUCUGAGCAACUAAUGUUUUCAUUGAGAUUUGAUGAUAAGCAGCAAAGCUCAAAUGAAAGUCCAGAGUUAGUGUUGGCAGGGCGAGAUGGCUCAUGCCUGUAAUCCCAGCACUUUGGGAGGCUGAGGUGGGAGGAUCACUUGAGCCCAGGAGUUUGAGACCAGCCCGAGCUAUAUAGUGAGACCCUAUCUCUACAAAAAAUACAAAAAUUAGCUGGGCGUAGUUGUGCGUGCCUGUAGUUCUAACUACUCAGGAGGCUGACAGGGGAUGAUCGCUUAAACCCAAGAUAUCGAAGCUGCAAUGAGUUGAGAUUGCACCACUGCACUCCAGCCUGGACGGCAGAAUGAAACCUUGUCUAAAACACACACACACACACACACACACACACACACACACACACACACACACACACACACACAGAGUAUUGAUUACAGCGCUAUACCAGGUUCUAGUGUUGAGUAAGGGACAGGGAGGAGCAAUCUGUAAAGAAAUAGAGUCUCACUGGAAUUUCAUUCUUCAUUAUUUCAUACCCUUCACUUUUUCUAGACGCUAACCCCAUAUGAUACUAAAAAGUAUCUGUAUUGCAUCAGACGACGUAUCUGUGAAGUCAGAGAAUUGUGCUUUAAGAAUCUCUCAAGAGGAGAACAUAUAUUGGGCUUUCAUAAUACCAAUAACAUUUUACAUCAUGCUUCAUUUACAAGCUAUUUUCACACAUAUCACUCUAUUUAAUCUUCACAACUUGGUGAGAUAAACAAAGUAUUAUUUUCAGUAUAAUUUUCUGGAUGAGAAAAUUAUAGCUUAGAGAAGUUGUGUCUUGCACGAGAUCACAAAGCUAAUUAAGUGGAAAGGUUACUUAACAUUAACUACAAACCAGAUCUUCCACCAAGCCUUUUCCCCACCACAGGGCUUUGCUGGUUGGGGAGAAAUUGUCAUUUGGUCCCAGAACACACUUGAAGGCCACUGCCUUAAGCAACCCUUUGAGUAACAAGGAAGAAAGUAUUCCCGUAGGUCAUAAAUACUGCUUUACUAACUUCCUAAAUGUCUUCAUAAAAUCUUAGGGAAAUGGUUAAUGGACACUAAUUUUAAACUUUAAAAUAAUAUAAUUAUUGCCCUUUCUUCCAACAAUUCCACAUCUGUGAAUUCUCCUAAGAGAACCAUUAUGGAUAUGAAAAAUAUUUAGCUACAAGAGGUUUUUUGAAGCACUGUUUAUAACAGAAAACAAAUAUAAAGCUCAGCAUUGGAAAAGUGGUAAAAUGGAUUAUGCUGAACUCAUGAAAAUAAUGUCAGGGUUUCCCACACUUUGAUUAUUCAUGUGGCAUCUUCAGAAUAUUGCCAUCUGCACUAAUAUUUACUUAACAUUUUCCUUUAAAUUAAUUCAUACAUUUUACUGGAAUAAAAUUAUUUAAAGGUAUUUUUUAUUAUUAACAUAAGUAGAAAUACAGUAUUAAUUGCCUUAAAUGUCAGAUGACAAUAAAAACAAAUACAAUGAAAACAAAGUAAUGUUAUUAAUGCAUGAAUUUGGUCCCAAUACCUUGAAGAAAACAUAUGACUGAUUUAAUAAAAUCACAAGUAAUCCCUUUUUUUGCCAUCACAAACUUCACCUUUCUGCAUUAAAAAAUCUCUUUUUUCACCUCUGAUCUAUAAAAGGUUCAAUGGAAAAAAGAUAUGCAGUGUGUGUCUGACCCCAAAUCACAGUUAGAUAUAUUUAUGCAUA
rnacentral:lncRNA from 1 species